rfam:Rhodonellum psychrophilum GCM71 = DSM 17998 strain GCM71 EFN26GC9, whole genome shotgun sequence.
GAUUCCGUAGCUCAGCUGGUAGAGCAAUACACUUUUAAUGUAUGGGUC